rnacentral:lncRNA from 1 species
GGUAGCUCGGUGGCAUAGUGGAUAGAACUCCGGCCUUGAAGUCAGGAGGACCUGAGUUCAAAUCCAACCUCAAACACUUGACACUUACUAGCUGUGUGACCCUGGGCACUUAACCCCAAUUGCCUUACCCAAAAAAGAGAAAAAGAAGAAGAUAGGAUUUGAAAUGAGGCUUGAAGGAAGUUAGGAGUCAGAGAAAGGGCAUUCUGGGCAUGGGGGACAGAGGGUGAAGAGGCAGAGGGAGUUGGGAGAGCUGAGAAUGCAAAGGCAAAAAAAGUCUGCCCUCAAGGAGCUUACAUUCCACUGAGCCAGGAGAAGCAGAAUCCAAUAACGUCAGCACCUUUAAGAAGAGUUAUAGGGGAAAGAAAGCAUUGAACUGGGAGUCAGAACACAGAGCCACAGCUCUGUUACCGGCUGCCAGCCAAGGCCAAAGUCCUUCCCUUCUUUGGAGCUAUACUGCCAUCUACAAAAUGAGAGGCUUUUCCUGAAAUGUACCCUCCAGCUCGGGCGUUUUAUGAUCCCAAUAUCUGUCUGAAUCAAUGUCACAGGACAGACUUUUAGCCAUGGGCAUUGCUGGUCUGGAAUGCAGUCUGCCUUUCUGGGAAGUGAAGCUGAAGACACGUCCAUCCCCCUUGAGUCAAGGGAGCCCGAGUUUCUUGAUGUGUUUUGGAGACUUGGUAACUCAAGAAGAACCCAAACAAACAAGAGCCGGGGAUAGAGCCCAGAUGCCUCUGCUCGUUGUGGGGAGGAGAGGAGACCCCAGACCUCAGUGGCUGUGCCAGGGGAGCCCAAGCUUCAGCAGCUUCACCCAUCCAUCUAUACAAGGUGCCGCGGCUUGGAGGAAUGAGAGCCUGGCAAUGGUCCACCCUCUGAAAACCGGGCUGACAUUCAUGAGACUUGAUCACCUGGGGAGGAAUUUGUUUGGGGUUUUGGGGUUUUGGUUUGUUUUUUUUAGUUUUAUUUUCAUGGACACAGCAACUUAUAAAGACUGUCUGCUAAGACACUGAAGGGCAGUGAUUUUCGGGGUGAAAGAGAGAAACUCUCUCCCCUAUCCCCACCCCCCACUUCAUGAAACCAAGGAUCCUUCCAACAUUGAAGUAAGUGUUUAGAAUAUCACUUGUGGCAUUUUGCUAGGGGGCUGUGAGUGGAAGGUACACUUUCUCUCCUAGACUCUUUUAUGCGUGUGAGGGAAUUGCAGAGGAAUUGGUUAAUGACUUACUGAUUUUUCAUGGUCCCACGCAGGCUGUCAAGUUACAGAUGCCAGGAGAUUAAUUAGGAAUAAACUGUAACUCGAGUUAGCUCCUUUUUGCUUG